GCCAACUGGGAACAUGCUGUGGAAUCUGACUUAGAUCACUGGAGGGAACCACCGGCCAUAAGAUGGAGCAGAAGGUUGGCAAGAAGUCCCACGAGUGAACGGAAGUAUUGUAGCCGAGGAGGAGCGGCGCCGCAUGGGGCUCUGGCAGUGGUGGCGACCGUUUAAUCACAACGUAACCUGCUUCGUCAACUAUUUUACUCUGUUCACUGAGUCAGAGAAUGGAAAUUUUGAGGUCGACUGGUGUUGCCUGUUCCGGACAGUUCCGAGCACAAAGUUCUAGAGCGAGGGAUGGGCGGCGGGUCCGGGAGAGAAGUCGCAGGGGAAAUUUAGAUAUUUAUCAGGCAAUGAGGGAGCUUCAAAACGGCUCCCAUGUGUUCUUUAUUUCAGCUGGGGUUUGAUGGCAAAUGGAGCGAGGCAAGAGCUGGCGAGACCCUUUCCCCAACACACAAGCACUGUGCGCGCGCACACACACACACACACACACACACACACACACUCAUACUCUACCCUGCCCACUAUCCCCCUCCUCCAACCGCAUCCACCGACUACAAACCAACACAGAGCAGAGGACUACUUUCCCAGACCCUGGUACCAGCUUGGACUUAUUAUAUUACCUCGAUUGGGUUUGUGACAAUACAGGAAGACAUGAGGUUUAAAGGAAUGCAGGCC
ensembl:lncRNA